CGAGUUUGUAAAAAGUAAGUCUGUGGGUGGAUUUCAAAACAGGCUGAGUACUUUAGUUGGGUUUAAGGCAGCCUCUGAACCUGUAUCAGGCUCUGCACAUUGCUGUGGAGCAGCUGUCCUGGGAUGGCGUCCCUCCAGCCUUCAUGGUGCCACUCUAAUUCAGUCCCUUGGCACCAGCAUGUUUGAAGGCAUUUUUUUUUUAACUUCAUUUUCAGCUCUUCGUCUGCAUCAGCAAAUGGCUCCAGUGGGGCCACAGAGGGAAAGUGAGGCAGGGGGACAGGAGCAAGGAGGCGACUACCAGGGAGACAGCCUUCUAGUUAAAUUGCUGGGAAGCUCUGGAUGGAAGAACGCCCAGAUUGCAGAUUCAACAACAGAGUCCAGCGCAGUGGCUUUUGCUUGGUUUUGCUAAUAAACCUGCAAAAUGAAGCUGUUGACUCUUCUUUCAUCAGCGUCAGCCUCACAAGGUACAGUCAUGCCUGGUGAUCAGAGCAAAGGGCUGGGCAAACAGGUCUGGAGAUCAGCUCUUAAUGAGCCACAUGGCCAGCGUGUUUCGCUUGGGGCUCUUGACCUCUCUGCACCUCAGCCAACUUGGCUGUAAAAGUGGCCGAAGGGUGGGCUUGUGGAGACUGGCUGCAGUUGAGCCUCGAGCCCAGAUUUCGUCAGUAAACACGAACUAAAAAAAAAAACCAAAAAAAAAAAACAAUUUGAAUCUGAGGCAACCCGGCGCAAAUGUCACUGGGAUGUCAGGCCCUGCCACUGUCAACAGUGCCGGUCUCUGGGGUCCUCCCAUUACAAUGUCAGAGCAAAUCUAAGCAACACCACUGAGAUUUACUCUACGGUUAAAAAAAUGUGCUGCAGACAACUGCACAGAUCAGGGGAUAAUGAAGAGAAGUCGUGCCCAACACACACACACAGUUGUCUGCUCCCAUGAGAUGCUGUGGCUGCUCUCAUAGUUUAGAACAACCAAGACCUUUUUCCCCUUAAACUGGGACUCAGAAGCAGCACAGAUGAGCCAGAGCUGCUAAGCUGGUGCUUCAUGGGGGAGGUAGUGAGGAAGAGGAGAGGCACAGAGGAAGAGGAGAGGCAUCAUCCACUUGUAUUUACAUG
rnacentral:lncRNA from 1 species